ACGCGAAGAACCUUACCUGGGCUCGAAGUGUAGUCGACCGUCUCAGAGAUGAGGCUUUCCCGCAAGGGACGGCUGCAUAGGUGCUGCAUGGCUGUCGUCAGCUCGUGUCGUGAGAUGUUGGGUUAAGUCCCGCAACGAGCGCAACCCUCACCCUUAGUUGCUCGUCCGUAAGGAAAGCACCCUAAGGGAACUGCCUCGGAUAACGGGGAGGAAGGUGGGGAUGACGUCAAGUCCUCAUGGCCUUUAUGUCCAGGGCUACACACGUGCUACAAUGGCCGGUACAAAGCGUCGCGAACCCGCAAGGGGGAGCCAAUCGCAAAAAGCCGGUCUCAGUUCGGAUUGCAGGCUGCAACUCGCCUGCAUGAAGCUGGAAUCGCUAGUAAUCGCGUAUCAGAACGACGCGGUGAAUACGUUCCCGGGCCUUGUA
rnacentral:rRNA from 1 species